UUCGCUUAUUUGAAUUUGUUAAAUAUUCGUACAUUACAACUUACUUAUUUAUAACAAGAUAAUACAGCCCUUAAAAUUAUACUUAAGACGGAUAUACAAGCAUAUAUUACUUUACUGUUUUUAAUAUUUUUGUUGUGCAUUCUCAAGAAAAAUCAACUUUAGAACGUUUUCAGAACUCAGUUCUAAUACUCGAACCCGCGCCUAAUAUUUUAUUUUUGGCUCAAGAUAAGUGUUUUUAACAAACAUUAUGUAACAAACAAUUUGUUGUGGAUCAAUACGGGACCCUAAUUAUGCGUAGGUACAGAUAAGACAAAGGGCUGGCAUUUGAUCGUCAUACACUGAUAAGUCGUAUAGACAUAUACUAAUGUAUUCAUAUUUAGCAAAAAAUAUAUCCGGGUGUGCUUCAUGUACCCACCUCUUUAUCACUACAUAGGUAUUCCACAUAAACAUAUCAGUUUGUUCGCCCCUUUCAAACCUUCAACAAGCAUGAAUUUUCUAAUUUUCAUCAUUUUGAGCUCUUUUGCAUGUGUUUUUUCAAGUAAGACUUGUUAUGAAUGUAAACCUGAAGACAGUGGCAAGUGUUUGUCCCCAGAUCAGAACAAUAUCACGACUGUAAAUUGUGCAGAGAAAUUACAACAAGUAAUUACAUCUACACAACAAUCUUCAGAGUAUCAGUGCUUCACUGUCCUUACAGCAAAUGGAACUCAGAGAGGAUGUGCUGAUCCGAGUUCAGAUGUUUGUAGUCAUCUGAAGACUUAUAAGUAUAAUCAAACGAAUAUUCUCAAUUGCAUGUCCUGUUUAAAUGACAAUUGCAAUACUGGAAACCUAGCAAUUAAAGCUACUGAAAAUACAAAUAAUAAUGAUGGUAAUGGUGUUACAGGACAUUCCGUAUCCAUAAGCGUAUUCCUCUUAAAUAUGGUAUUUUUGGCAUGUAUUUUUUUGAAUCAAUUUUAGCCACUUGGUAGUGAGUUAUAAAUAUAUUUAAGUGACGUUUUAUAAGCUUUUGCUGCACUAACUUGUAAUGGAAACACUUAUAUAAUAAAAAGAAAUUUAGAAAAA